GACGAACGCUGGCGGCGCGCUUAACACAUGCAAGUCGAACGGAAAGGCCUGCUUUCCCUUGUGGAUUGCGGGUACUCGAGUGGCUAACGGGUGAGUAACACGUGAGUGAUCUGCCCCCAACUUGGGUAUAAGCCUGGGAAACUGGGUCUAAUUCCCGAUAGGACUGCAGGGUGGUGCCUGUGGUGGAAAACGAUUUUCUAGUGGUUGGGGAUGAGCUCGCGGCCUAUCAGCUUGUGGGUGGGGUAAUGGCCUACCAAGGCGGCGACGGGUAGCCGGCCUGAGAGGGGCGACGGCGACACUGGGACUGGGACACGGCCCAGACGGCUGCCGGCAGUAGGAGUGGGGAAGAUAGGACAAUGGGCGGGAGGCAGAUGCAGCGACGCCGCGAGGGGGAUGUCGGCGUUGGGGUUGUCUACUGCUUGCGACCGAGAGGAAGCGAACUGGUUGGAGGGGUGGUGACGGUAGUGGUAGAAGAAGCACCGGCUAACUACGUG
rnacentral:rRNA from 1 species